rnacentral:rRNA from 1 species
UACAGAGGGUGCAAGCGUUGUUCGGAAUUAUUGGGCGUAAAGCGCGUGUAGGCGGCUUUGCAAGUCGGGUGUGAAAGCCCUCAGCUCAACUGAGGAAGUGCGCCCGAAACUGCAGAGCUUGAGUACCGGAGAGGAUGGCGGAAUUCCCAAGUAGAGGUGAAAUUCGUAGAUAUGGGGAGGAACACCGGUGGCGAAGGCGGCCAUCUGGACGGAUACUGACGCUGAGACGGCGAAAGCGUGGGUAGCAAACAGG